UCCGUAGGUGAACCUGCGGAGGGAUCAUUACAAGUGACCCCGGUCUAACCACCGGGAUGUUCAUAACCCUUUGUUGUCCGACUCUGUUGCCUCCGGGGCGACCCUGCCUUCGGGCGGGGGCUCCGGGUGGACACUUCAAACUCUUGCGUAACUUUGCAGUCUGAGUAAACUUAAUUAAUAAAUUAAAACUUUUAACAACGGAUCUCUUGGUUCUGGCAUCGAUGAAGAACGCAGCGAAAUGCGAUAAGUAAUGUGAAUUGCAGAAUUCAGUGAAUCAUCGAAUCUUUGAACGCACAUUGCGCCCCCUGGUAUUCCGGGGGGCAUGCCUGUUCGAGCGUCAUUUCACCACUCAAGCCUCGCUUGGUAUUGGGCAACGCGGUCCGCCGCGUGCCUCAAAUCGACCGGCUGGGUCUUCUGUCCCCUAAGCGUUGUGGAAACUAUUCGCUAAAGGGUGCUCGGGAGGCUACGCCGUAAAACAAACCCAUUUCUAAGGUUGACCUCGGAUCAGGUAGGGAUACCCGCUGAACUUAAGCAUAUCAAUAAGCGGAGGAA
rnacentral:rRNA from 1 species